CGAUGGCAGAUGAUCGCUGGUGAAUCGCUUGCGGUUCGCUGGAGGAAAGUCCGAACACCAUACGGCAGCAUGCCGCGUAAAAUACGCGGGCGACGUUCGCGAAAGUGGACGUUGACGGAGAGUGUCACAGAAAAAACACCGCCGGUUCUUUGAGAAAAGCACGGGCAAGGGUGAAAAGGCGAGGUAAGAGCUCACCGCUCGCGGAGCAAUUCGCGAGGCACGAAAAACCCCAUGCGGUGCAAGACAAAACAGAGGAAGGGAAGCCGGCCCGGUUUAAUCCUCGGGUAUCGUCGCAUCACGAUGCUGUAGCGGCGGUCUGUGACCGCCGAAACGUCAUCGGGCAUCCCGCGCAAGCAGGAUGAGAUAAAUGAUCAUCCCGGCUGAGAAAUCAGCCAGACAGAAUUCGGCUUAUCGCCAUCGAAAC
rnacentral:RNase_P_RNA from 1 species